GGGAAUGUAGCUUAGUGGUAGAGUGCUUGCCUUUCAUGCAUAAAGCCCUGGGUUCAAUUCCUGAUUACCCCA
rfam:Dipodomys ordii contig_25660, whole genome shotgun sequence.